rnacentral:lncRNA from 1 species
CACAAGAUGAAUGGAUUAACCACUGGAAGACCUGCACUACUACAAAUGUUAAAGAAAGUCCUUCCAAGAAAGAAAAAAGGCAACUUAAUGGAAACUUGUGUCUACCAAAUGGAAAGAAGAGCAAUGGGAAUCCUAACUACGAGUGUGAGAAAAAAAGUUGAAUGUGGUGAUGGGGAAAACACUGAAGUUCAAAAGAAGCGAAGACAAGAAGCUACUCAUGGCAGCAGCUUUUCCCAUAAAUCAAGAAAUGCUACAGAUUAUAAAUGAGAUGAGACUAUCAAGAAGAGACCUAAUAGGAGUGUGAAGACCAAAAAUUUAAAAGACGUGGUUAUAUACUUUGAGUAAACUCUAUAUAUAGGACAAUGUUAUUGUUUGGUUCUGUGUUCCUCACUCAAAUCUCACCUCAAAUUAUAAUCCCCAUGUGUCAAGGGCAGGACCAGGUGGAAGUAACUGGAUCAUGGGGGAAGUUUUCCUCAUGCUUUUCUCAUAGUAAGUGAGUUCUCAUAAGAUCUGAUUUUUUUAUAAGCAUAUGGCAUUUCCCCUCCUAGCAUUUUGCCUCCUGCUGCCUUGCAAAGACGGCAGUUGCUUCCCCUUUGCCUUCCGCCAUGACUGUAAGUUCCCUGAGUCCUCUCCAGCCAUGUGGAACUGUGGGUUAAUUAAAUCUCUUUCCUUAUAAAUUACCCAGUCUUGGGCAGUUCUUUAUAGCAGUGUGAAACUGGACUAAAAUAGAAAAUUGGUACCAGGAGAGUGAGGCACUGCUGUAAAGACAUCACUAUAAAGGCACCUGAAAAUGGAAGCAACUUUGGAACUAGCUAAUGGGCAGAGGUUGGAACCAUUUGCAGGGUUCAGAAGAAGACAUGAAGAUGUGGGAAAGUUUGGAAAUUCCUGGAGACUUGUUGAAUGCUUUGACGAAAAUGCUGAUACUGAUAUGGACAAUAAAUUUCAGGCUGAGAUGCUCUCAGAUACAAAUAAAGAACUUGUUGGGAACUGGAAUAAAGGUGACUAUUUGCUAUAUAUGCUUUAGCAAAGAGACUGGUGGCAUUUUGCCUCUGUCCUAGAGAUCUGUGGAGCUUUGAACAUGAGAAAGAUGAUUUAGAAUAUCUGGUGGAAGAAAUUUAUAUGCAGCAAAGUGUUCAAGAAGUGACUCGGGUGCUCUUAAAACCAUUCAGUUGUAUGCAUUCACAAAGAUAUGGUUUGGAAUUGGAACUUAUGUUUAAAAGGGAAGCAGAGAAUAAGAGUUCAGAAAAUUUGCAGCCUGAUGAUGCAAUAGAAAAGAAAAAUCUCAUUUUCUGGGGAGAAAUUCAAGCCUGCUGCAGAAAUUUGCGUAAGUAACAAGGAGACAAAUGUUAGUCACCAAGACAAUGGAGAAUAUGGCCUCAGUCAAUGUCGGAUGUCUUCACUGCAAGCCCUCCAAUCACAGGCCUGAAGGAUUGGAGAGAAAAAAUAAUUUUGUGGGCAAGGCCCAGGGACUUGCUGCUUUGUGCAGUCUCUGAACUUGGUGCCCUGCAUCCCAGCUGUGUCUAAUAGUGGCCAACAUACAGCUCAGGCCAUUGCUUUAGAGGGUGAAAGCCCCAAGCCAUGGUGUCUUACAUGUGGUUUUGGGCCUGCAGAUGCACAGAUGUCAAGAAUUGAGGUUUGAGAACCUCCACCUAGAUUUCAGAGGAUGUAUGGAAACUCUUGGAUGUCCAGGCAGAAGAGUACUACAGGGGCAGAGCUCUCCAUGGAGAACAUCUGCUAGGGCAGUGCAGAGUCCCCACUGGGGCGCUGACUAGUGGAGCUGUGAGAAGAAGGCCACCAACCUCCAGACCCCAGAAUGGUAGAUCCACCAACAUCUUGCAUCGUACACCUAGAAAAGUCACAGACGCUCAACAACACCUCAUGAAAGUAGCCAGGAGAGGCGCUGUAUCCUGCAAAGCCACAGAGGCAGAGCUGCCCAAGGCUGUGGUAUCCCACCUCCUACAUCAGUGUGAUUGGAUGUGAGACAUGUAGUCAAAUGAGGUCAUUUUGGAACUUUUAAGACUUAAUGACUGCUUUAUUGUAUUUUGGACUUGCAUGAGGCUUGUAGCCCCUUUGUUUUAGCCAGUUUAUCUCAUUUGGAAUGGGACUAUUUAUCCAAAGCCUGUACCCCAUUGUAUCUAGGAAGUAACUGACUUGCUUUGGAUUUUACAAGCUCAUAGGCAGAAGGGACUUCCCUUGUCUCAGAUGAGACUUUGGACUGUGGCCUUUUGAGUUAAUGUUAAAAUGAGUUAAGACUUUGAGGAACUGUUGGGGAGGCAUGAUUAGUUUUGAAAUGUAAAAAGACAUGAGAUUUGGGAGGGGCCAAGGACAGAAUAAUACGGUUUGGCUCUGUGUCCCCUUCCAAAUUUCACCUUUAAUUGUAAUCGCCAUAACCCCCACAUGUCAAUGGUGGAAACAGGUAGAGGUAAUUGGAUCGUGGAGGCAGUUUCUUCUAUGCUGUUAUUCAUGAUAGCGAAUGAGUUUUCAUGAGAUCUGAUGGUUUUAUAAGCAUCUGGCAUUUCUUCUGCUUGCACUUCUCAUUCCUGCCACCUUGUGAAGAAGGUGCUUUUCUUCCCAUUUGCGUUCAACCAUUAUUAUAAGUUUCCAGAGGCAAACCCAGCCACACAGAAGUGUGAGUCAAUUAAACCUCUUUUUUAAUAAAUUACCACUCUCAAACAGUUCUUUAUGGCAGUAUGAAGACAGACUAACACAGAAAGAUAUAGCUGUUUUGGAAACAUCAGAAGUACAGUUGUAGCAAUAAAUAAAAUAUGAAUAGAUUAACUUUCGUACACCUAUUUGUGUUGAAAGCACCAGGAGUCAUAGCCAACAAUCACUUUAAUAUUUCUCCAGCUAAUUCUUCUGAUUUAUUUUUAUGUUUGGUUAGCCAGUGACUUCCCCACUAGCUAAAAAAUAUUUUUAAAAGUAUGUAUGUGUUAAUAUAUCUUGACUACUUUUUAAUUUUCCAAUUAAAAAAUAAAUCACACUUUAAUCUCUGUGUCUUGAUUUUUCUCAUUUAAGAAGAGCUCAUUGACUUAGGGGCUACAUACUAUAUGACAAGUUACAUAAAUCACAAUUUUCUUAAAUAUUUCCCUAUUGAUGGUUACUCAGUUUUAUUUUUUUUAUUUUUGCCAUUAGUAACAGUGAAGAAAUUAAUGAUCUUGCAUUUAAAUUUUAAGUACAGGUGAUUGGCUUCUUUUUACAACAUUAAAGAGUUGUAAUUGACAUACAAUAAACUGUAAUUAUAUAGUAGGCAGCUUGCUAAGUAUUGACAUAUGUAUUUACACAUCAAAACAUUACCACUAUUAAGAUAGUCAAACAUCCAUUAUCUCUAAAAGUUUUCACAUGUUACUCUGUAAUUAUUCCUGUCUGACCCUCCCACUGUCCAAAGGUAAUCAAUAACCUGCUUUCUGUCCCUAAAACUCAGUUUGCUAUUUCUAGAAUUUUCUAUAACCAGGAUAAAUUUUUUAAAGAUCUUAUUUUUUUCACUCAAUAGUUAUUUUGGGUGCAUACAUAUUUUUUAGGAUAUCAAUAGUUUGUUUUUAUUGCUAAGGUAUUAUUUUAUUUAUGAAUAUCCCACAAUUUAUUUAUUUAUCCAAAUGUUGAUGGACAUUUGGUUGUUUUGAGUUUGAAACUAUUAUAAAUAAAGCUGCUAUAAUCAUUGGUUUUCUAUUCUUUGUAUAACAUAUAUUGUUGUGGUUGAGGGGUGCAGAUAUCUAGAAAUGAAAUAGCUCGAUUGAUGGUAAGUAUAUAUUUAAUAUUUUAAGGUUCUGUUAAACUGUUUUCCAAAGUAUUUGCGUUAUUUUUCAUUCCCACUAACAGUGCCUGAGGAUUCCAGUUUUUCUACGUGCUUACAAACACUCGAUGUGGUCAGUGUUUUUAAGUUUAGCCUCUCUGAUAGGAGAGUGGCUUUAAUUUGCAUUUCACUCUUAACUAUUGAUGUCAAGCAGAUUUCUGUGUGCCGAUUUGCCAUCUGUAUGUCUUUG